GAUGAACGCUGGCGGCGUGCCUAAUACAUGCAAGUCGAGCGAACGGACGAGAAGCUUGCUUCUCUGAUGUUAGCGGCGGACGGGUGAGUAACACGUGGAUAACCUACCUAUAAGACUGGGAUAACUUCGGGAAACCGGAGCUAAUACCGGAUAAUAUUUUGAACCGCAUGGUUCAAAAGUGAAAGACGGUCUUGCUGUCACGUAUAGAUGGAUCCGCGCUGCAUUAGCUAGUUGGUAAGGUAACGGCUUACCAAGGCAACGAUGCAUAGCCGACCUGAGAGAGUGAUCGGCCACACUGGAACUGAGACACGGUCCAGACUCCUACGGGAGGCAGCAGUAGGGAAUCUUCCGCAAUGGGCGAAAGCCUGACGGAGCAACGCCGCGUGAGUGAUGAAGGUCUUCGGAUCGUAAAACUCUGUUAUUAGGGAAGAACAUAUGUGUAAGUAACUGCGCACAUCUUGACGGUACCUAAUCAGAAAGCCACGGCUAACUACGUG
rnacentral:rRNA from 1 species